CCAUGCUGAAGGUAGCUCUUGUUCUUGGAUGCCUCCUGAGCCUCGCUCUGGCUCAGCCUAUGGAGGGAGCACACAAACGAGUUGCUCGCUCAAGCUCUGGCUCUAACUCUGGCUCUAACUCUGGCGAGACUACAACUAAAGCUGCAACAACUACCACUGCAGCUGCAACAACUACAACUGCAGCAACUUCAACUCUAAGUGCACAACAGCAACUGAUAGUCCAGCUCCUUCGAGCCCUUGGGCUGUUGUGAACUACAACUGAAGCAAGAGCUACAUCUACCACUGCAUCAGCCCCUACGACCACUACUAUAAAAUAAAAAUCUAAAAAGUAUCCAGUGAAUGACGACCACUUUAUAAUGAUGUCUAUUGGUAACAUCAGCUUUGAGUCAGUGUCAUUUCACUUGCCUCUUUCUCUUUCCUGAUUUCAACGACGUUGUUUUAACCAGUGUUCUAUUACUCAGCGUUCUAGUUCACAUUAACAUGAUGAUCAAAAUCACUGUAUUCUCUGCUCUAUCUGCUUAAUAAACUUCAUCACUGCAAA